AAGAGUGACCCUCGCAGUAGGGAACCGUGAAAUGGGUCAGGCCUUAAUUGGAGCAGCUCUAAGCGGGGUACCUAGGUGCGGGGGUCUCUCCUCGACA
rnacentral:SRP_RNA from 1 species